rnacentral:tRNA from 2 species
GCUCGCGUAGCUCAGAUGGAUAGAGUGCUUCCCUCCGAAGGAAGAGGUCGCAGGUUCGAAUCCCGCCGCGAGUACCA